rnacentral:misc_RNA from 1 species
AACGCAUAUUGCGCCCUCUGGUAUUCCGGAGGGCAUGCCUGUCCGAGCGUCAUUACUACCUUCAAGCACGGCUUGGUUGUUGAGCCAAUUGUUCUUUGAUGGACAGGCUUGAAAUACAGUGGCAAUGCCAGAGUCCUGGUGCCCGAGCGUAUGGAGCUCUGUCACACGCUUUAGUGGCCCAGCCGGCAUUUUGUCGAUUAACCCCUUUUUAAAACCUAAGAUUUAACCUCGGAUCAGGUAAGGAUACCCGCUGAACUUAA